UUUCGGAGCCAGACUCGGCAGUGCCGAGUGGAUUAGCCGUUGUCCGGGCGAAGGCAGCGAAGCGGCCCAUUCACUCCCUGGGAGAGGAGGGGGCGAGGCAAAUUUGCGGCAAAGCCCUUGUUGUUCGGUAGAAGUGGUUCAAAACAAAAACUUUAUUUUGGACAGCAAAUGCUUGUUAUCUGGUCACCGCGGGAAUGCACCGAACCCUGGGCGUAGCCCACCCGCCCCUGGGAGAAGAGGGGCGUGUUGGUGGGGAGAAUGGAGAGAAAUAGGACAAUCGACACUGCCGAAACUAACUCAACUGCAAGUCCUGAAAGAGUAGAAUCAGAAACUGUUCGCUUUGAGAGAAAGCUGGGGACUGCGGAGCAAGUGGAACAAAAAGAGACGCGACCCCUGAACGGAAAGCCUUUGGUUCAAGGACAGAGGAGCCCGAAGGAGAAGACGGAAGGAAACGUCAUCGCGAAGUAGGUCAGUCGUCAAGUGGGGAGAAUCCAGUGCUGCAGAAUAUGGAUUAGAGAUUCAUUACUCAAGCGCUCUUUGCACUCAUCUCCACUGAAGGAUGUCACAGGUACUGGAAGAGAGGGCACUGGAGGUUCUGGUGGGAGAGGUCCAGAGGAGGAGAGAUAUAACUGCAGGGAAGACACAUGCCAACUUGUUCUCCUUAUCCUCUUGCUCCAGCAGAAGCUUUAAGUAUUGCUUAACAUUGACAAAAAUGACGUGUUUGCUCUCUGACAGCUGGUCAGUGUUUGGAGCGGGAUUUAAGCCAAAUGCUGGCAACCAAAAAUCUGUGUACCUAUUGGAUGAGUAUGGAAGGCAUUUAAUCAACCCUUUAAAGAGCCUCCAGACGUCUAUUUGCUGCUUUGAUUCCUUUACCAAGAGGACAUCCUGAAGGCAAAACUGGUGUUAUCUCUUAAGCCCUGUUUUGGCCAUCUUGCAUAUUCAUCAGCGUCUGAAAUUUUCACUGACGUCACCCACAUGUUCUUCCUCUGCAGGUUGUGAGCUGAAAUGUUUCUCUGCAAAUCAUUUGUUUGAUAAUCUUCACCUAAUCCGCUUCAUCCUAAAUAUGGUUCAGUUUAAGGGAACACGUGUAAAGGAUUUUGGCAACAAGCCAUGGGAGUGGAAAUAAUGGUGCUGUUUUACCAAGGAGCUGGCACAACCAUGGUGGCUGGCUGGUUUCCUUCUGUGCUGUACUAUCCUCUAAUUCAAAGGCUGGUGAACUCUGCUUAAAGUUUCGUCUGUUAAUGGCUACCUCUGAGGGCAGAACCUUUCAAGCUAUACCACAACAUUGGGAUAUGGGAGAUGGAAAGGAACACAAGAGGAAAAAUAUCAAGAGAAGAAGAUUAAUUUAACUUUGCACUUCAGUAUUAGUAGCAAUGGUCCAAGGUGCUCUGAGCAGGUAGUAGGGAGAACGUGGGAUGGAACCCUGAUUCCACAAAACCAGUCACAAAGGAGGUUUGGUGAAGUGGAAAUGAAGCAGAUAAACUACAAGACUAAGGUUGCUGAUUCACAAGGAGGACGCAAACACUUCAAAAAUUAAAGUUUCAAGUAGAACUUUGGAGAA